rnacentral:rRNA from 1 species
UACAGAGGAGCCAAGCGUUGUCCGGAUUGACUGGGCGUAAAGCGCACGCAGGCGGUUGCGCGCGUGGGGUGUGAAAUCUGGCCGCUUAACGGCCAGGCGCCAUCCCAUACGGCGCGACUGGAGUGAUGCAGAGGUCGAUGGAAUUGCCGGUGUAGUGGUGAAAUGCGUAGAGAUCGGCAGGAACACCCAGGGGGGAAACCAGUCGACUGGGCAUCUACUGACGCUGAGAAGCGAAAGCAUGGGGAGCGAACGGGG